rnacentral:tRNA from 1 species
GUCCAGGGAUGGGGAUCGAACCCACAGUGUUCUGCUUACCGGGCAGAUGCCAUGUCCACUAGGCUACCCUGGA